rnacentral:rRNA from 1 species
UACGUAGGGUGCAAGCGUUGUCCGGAAUUAUUGGGCGUAAAGAGCUCGUAGGCGGUUUGUCGCGUCGGAUGUGAAAACCUGGGGCUUAACUCCGGGCCUGCAUUCGAUACGGGCAGACUAGAGUUCGGUAGGGGAGACUGGAAUUCCUGGUGUAGCGGUGAAAUGCGCAGAUAUCAGGAGGAACACCGGUGGCGAAGGCGGGUCUCUGGGCCGAUACUGACGCUGAGGAGCGAAAGCGUGGGGAGCGAACAGG